rnacentral:rRNA from 1 species
GAUGAACGCUGGCGGCGUGCCUAAUACAUGCAAGUCGAGCGAACGGACGAGAAGCUUGCUUCUCUGAUGUUAGCGGCGGACGGGUGAGUAACACGUGGAUAACCUACCUAUAAGACUGGGAUAACUUCGGGAAACCGGAGCUAAUACCGGAUAAUAUUUUGAACCGCAUGGUUCAAAAGUGAAAGACGGUCUUGCUGUCACUUAUAGAUGGAUCCGCGCUGCAUUAGCUAGUUGGUAAGGUAACGGCUUACCAAGGCAACGAUGCAUAGCCGACCUGAGAGGGUGAUCGGCCACACUGGAACUGAGACACGGUCCAGACUCCUACGGGAGGCAGCAGUAGGGAAUCUUCCGNCAUGGGCGAAAGCCUGACGGAGCAACGCCGCGUGAGUGAUGAAGGUCUUCGGAUCGUNAAACUCUGUUAUUAGGGAAGAACAUAUGUGUAAGUAACUGUGCACAUCUUGACGGUACCUAAUCAGAAAGCCACGGCUAACUACGUGCCAGCAGCCGCGGGUAUACGUAGGUGGCAAGCGUUAUCCGGGAAUAUUGGGCGUAAAGCGCGCGUAGCGGUUUUUUAGUCUGAUGUGAAAGCCCACGGCUCAACCGUGGAGGGUCAUUGGAAACUGGAAAACUUGAGUGCAGAAGAGGAAAGUGGAAUUCCAUGUGUAGCGGUGAAAUGCGCAGAGAUAUGGAGGAACACCAGUGGCGAAGGCGACUUUCUGGUCUGUAACUGACGCUGAUGUGCGAAAGCGUGGGGAUCAAACAGGAUUAGAUACCCUGGUAGUCCACGCCGUAAACGAUGAGUGCUAAGUGUUAGGGGGUUUCCGCCCCUUAGUGCUGCAGCUAACGCAUUAAGCACUCCGCCUGGGGAGUACGACCGCAAGGUUGAAACUCAAAGGAAUUGACGGGGACCCGCACAAGCGGUGGAGCAUGUGGUUUAAUUCGAAGCAACGCGAAGAACCUUACCAAAUCUUGACAUCCUUUGACAACUCUAGAGAUAGAGCCUUCCCCUUCGGGGGACAAAGUGACAGGUGGUGCAUGGUUGUCGUCAGCUCGUGUCGUGAGAUGUUGGGUUAAGUCCCGCAACGAGCGCAACCCUUAAGCUUAGUUGCCAUCAUUAAGUUGGGCACUCUAAGUUGACUGCCGGUGACAAACCGGAGGAAGGUGGGGAUGACGUCAAAUCAUCAUGCCCCUUAUGAUUUGGGCUACACACGUGCUACAAUGGACAAUACAAAGGGCAGCGAAACCGCGAGGUCAAGCAAAUCCCAUAAAGUUGUUCUCAGUUCGGAUUGUAGUCUGCAACUCGACUACAUGAAGCUGGAAUCGCUAGUAAUCGUAGAUCAGCGUGCUACGGUGAAUACGUUCCCGGGUCU